rnacentral:tRNA from 1 species
GCUAUAGUAUUUUAAAUUUGGUAGAAUAUAAAAUUUGUAAUUUUAAGGUUGGUAUAGUA